CAAUGCGGGCGGGCGAUAUCCAGCAGCUUUAGCGAAUGCUUGGAACCGUGGAAAGGCGGGAGCCGGGUGUUUAGGAGCGAAAUGCGGCAUAUUGGCAGCGGGCUUGUACAGCCUUCAUUCAGAUCGGANCAGCUUUUAUUCAGAUCGGAUACGCAUGAUCGACCGCCGCCUUGAGUAUCCCGCCACCUUGCGUAACCGCGAUGUCAUCCUCGACGUCCUGCGCGGUGUGCUGCCCGCAUCGGGACUUGUCCUUGAGAUCGCCAGCGGCUCAGGCGAACACGUCGUGCAUUUCGCGCGGGCUUUUCCGGGCCUGACGUUUCAGCCCUCGGACCCCGAAGACGCCGCCUUGCAAAGCAUCGCGGCGUGGACGCGGGACAGCGGUCUUCCCAACAUCCGCGCACCUGUGGUGCUGGAUGCC
rnacentral:misc_RNA from 1 species